rnacentral:lncRNA from 1 species
UAAUAAUAAUUAGUAAGUUUUGGAACCGAAGAAAUACUGUAACUAUUCGUUCUUUAAUUAAAAAAAACCCCACCAUAUUGAACAGUUGUCCACAACAUUUCUGAUAAAACCCUUCUUGUAUUUUGUACAUGUAGUUCUUCUUUAAAAAAAUAUACUCGAAAAGUUUUUACCUUUUUAGAAAACAGGAUUUGUUGAAUUUCAUACACUAUAUUACUUGAUAUUAACAGAAAAGCAUCUUAAUUUAAGGGCAACACUAACAUUAGAAGUAACAUAGUUUAUGAUUAUUCAAAUCAAUGGGACAUGGAACAGGCCAUUGUGAAAACCUUAUUAUGGGAGGCACUAUAUUACUUAAGUUUAAUUUGUUAAGUGUUGGUUUCUACAGUACUUAUGAUUUUUCCUAAAUAUAAAAAAGAUUAAUUUACGAAAUCAAAUGUAAUACACAUAUUUGUAUAUAUAAUGAUGUCAUUAAAACGUAACAAACUAAAUGUAAUGCACAGCUCUCGCAUUCUGUAUUGACUAAGGUAAUAUUAAUUAAAAACUAUUUUGGAGAAGGGAGGGUGAAUGAUAAUAUCAAAUAUAAUUCAUCUAACAUGAGCAAUGACAGAAUUUAAUGUAUACAUUUUCUUAAUAUUUUAACUUCAAAUUAGCCCUAUGUUAAGUUUUUGGUUGAAUUCUACGAAGCUUCGUUGAGAUUUCAACAAACAUAAUUAUUAUAAAAGAAGAUAACUUGACGUGAAGUUAAGAAAUUAACAUUACUCACUUCCUGUAAAUCGACGCUUCCAAGAAAGGAGCAGGUCUCACUAAUCCUUGGUUUUAGCAUACAACAGUAACUGCAACGAACUUUGGUAAUUAAACAUUCACACAGGUUUACACAAAAACUCCUGAGUUUUUUUUUUUUUUUUUUUUUUUUAUAUAAAUCAUGACAUUUGAGCACUUUGCACAUUUAUACUGUCACGUUUUAGAGGACAUCAGUAAAAAAGGUAUUGCUGCAGUUUUUGAAAACUGGGCGAACAUACCUUUAAGCUAUAGAUUUUUGAACAAAUGUAAUAUAUUUAUUAUUUAUUUAUUGUUACAUAAUGUUUGCUGCUGUAUAUGCAUAUUUGUAUAUUAUUAAUAAGACACAUAAUAUAUGUCUGUAUAUGUAAGUAACUCGAGUCCACAAUCUAAGAAUCUAAUAUAUAGGACUUCAGCUUAAUGUUUAAACAACUUAGGCGGAUACAACUUCUUUUAUAUGACGUGUUUAACCAAUUAUAAUACUUAUGAAAAGGCAAAAACCAUGAAAAAUCAUUAAGAUUUUUACAUGUUUUUUUGAUUAUUUUAAUAAGUGUCAAAGUUAACAUAAUGUGUAAAAAGAAAACAAUUAAAAAAAUAUAUAUGACAUGAUUGUCAGUGAUACAAACCAAAGGAAGAGGAUGUAAACAGCUAUAUCACAGCAAACGGCCUUCAACAAUGAGCAAAACCAAUAAUGUUUUGUACAAUGUAAGCUAUAAAAUGUCACCUAUGAAUAUGAAACAAUUCAAAAUUAAUGCUAAAUCAAUAAACUUUAAACAGUCCUGGUAGACAUCAGCCACUGAAAACAGGCGGGGUUGGGUAUGCUUAUGAGCUCUCAAACAUCCCCUUAUUUGGGACAGUGGUAUAACAACACAAAUUAAGAAAAACACAUCCAUAUAAAGGAAACGAAUUCUCACAAACAACAUUUAGUGGUACGAGUGCUGUUCAUGUUGGUAAAGUUGCAAGUCAAUAAGAAACUUACAAAUCAUAUGAAGAGAAGGAUUUUUUUUAUAUUUAAAUAAAGUAGAAAGUAUGAAAAUAAUCAAAUGCUAGGUAACUAUCAGCGAAUGCCAUACUUUAUCAUUGUUGUUACAUGUAUCAGUUUAAUCAUGUCAAUUGCAAUGAACUAGUGAGGUCAUAUACUUGUAUAUAUCAUUUAUUGGUUUUUUUCUGUACA